CAGCCGCCGCGGUAAUACGUAGGUGGCAAGCGUUGUCCGGAAUUAUUGGGCGUAAAGGGCUCGCAGGCGGUUUCUUAAGUCUGAUGUGAAAGCCCCCGGCUCAACCGGGAGGGUCAUUGGAAACUGGGAAACUUGAGUGCAGAAGAGGAGAGUGGAAUUCCACGUGUAGCGGUGAAAUGCGUAGAGAUGUGGAGGAACACCAGUGGCGAAGGCGACUCUCUGGUCUGUAACUGACGCUGAGGAGCGAAAGUGUGGGGAGCGAACAGGAUUAGAUACCCCCGUAGUCCCUGUCUCUUAUACC
rnacentral:rRNA from 1 species